rnacentral:rRNA from 1 species
UACCAGCUCUCCGAGUUGUGGGGACGAUUAUUGGGUCUAAAGCAUCCGUAGCCGGCUGGGCAAGUCCUCUGUUAAACCCAGCGACAAAUCGUUGGCUUGCGGGGGAUACUGCUUGGCUAGGGGGCGGGAGAGGCCGUCGGUAUUCUCGGGGUAGGGGUGAAAUCCUAUAAUCCCGGGAGGACCACCAGUGGCGAAGGCUGUCGGCUAGAACGCGCCCGACGGUGAGGGAUGAAAGCUGGGGGAGCGAACCGGAUUAGAUACCCGGGUAGUCCCAGCUGUAAACGAUGCAGGCUAGGUGUUAGGGCGGCUACGGGCCGCUCUAGUGCCGCAGGGAAGCUGUUAAGCCUGCCACCUGGGGAGUACGGCCGCAAGGCUGAAACUUAAAGGAAUUGGCGGGGGAGCACCACAAGGGGUGAAGCUUGCGGUUUAAUUGGAGUCAACGCCGGAAAUCUCACCGGGGGCGACAGCAGAGUGAAGGCCAGAUUGAAGGUCUUGCCAGACGAGCUGAGAGGAGGUGCAUGGCCGUCGCCAGUUCGUGCCGUGAGGUGUCCUGUUAAGUCAGGCAACGAGCGAGACCCGCAUCCCCCGUUGCCACCAGCCUUGAGCUGAGCACACUGGGGAGACCGCCGUCGAGAAGACGGAGGAAGGAGCGGGCCGCGGCAGGUCAGUAUGCCCCGAAUCUCCCGGGCCACACGCGAGCUGCAAUGGCAGGUACAAUGGGUUCCGACCUCGAAAGGGGAAGGCAAUCUCUAAAGCCUGCCGUAGUUGGGAUCGAGGGUUGAAACUCACCCUCGUGAACAUGGAAUCCCUAGUAAUCGCGUGUCACUAGCACGCGGUGAAUACGUCCCUGCUCCU